rnacentral:rRNA from 1 species
UAAGGAAUAUUGGUCAAUGGACGCAAGUCUGAACCAGCCAUGCCGCGUGAAGGAUGAAGGUCCUCUGGAUUGUAAACUUCUUUUAUCUGGGACGAAAACGGGAUUUUUAUCUCAAUUGACGGUACCAGAGGAAUAAGCACCGGCUAACUCCGUGCCAGCAGCCGCGGUAAUACGGAGGGUGCGAGCGUUAUCCGGAUUUACUGGGUUUAAAGGGUGCGUAGGUGGGCUUAUAAGUCAGUGGUGAAAUCUCCGAGCUUAACUUGGAAACUGCCGUUGAUACUAUAGGUCUUGAAUUAUCUGGAGGUAAGCGGAAUAUGUCAUGUAGCGGUGAAAUGCUUAGAUAUGACAUAGAACACCAAUUGCGAAGGCGGUCUCUUGGUCCGACACUGACGCUGAGGCGCGAAAGCGUGGGGAGCAAACA